UUCUACUCACCUCAAAGUCACAGUCAAACCGCUUCCAUUGUGCACUGACAAAGUUCCUGACACACUGUCAAAAUCAUGCAAUUUACUUGUCUGCACAUGUGUGUGCACAUACACAAAUCUGCGUCACAUGAGUCCUUGGGAUUUAGGUUAACUCCUUACUACCUGUUCAUUGUGUUUAGGUAAAUCAGAACAUACUAUGAAAACUACCUAGUUUUUAAAAUUGGGAUAUCUCCCCAGGUUAAUCUCUUGGCUUUUGGAGUUAUCAUAUACAAAGUGUUCCGCCACACUGCUGGACUGAAGCCAGAAGUUAGUUGCUACGAGAACAUAAGGUCUUGCGCCAGAGGAGCCCUGGCCCUCCUCUUCCUUCUGGGUACCACCUGGACCUUUGGGGUUCUCCACGUAGUGCAUGCAUCUGUUGUGACAGCCUACCUCUUCACAGUCAGCAACGCUUUCCAAGGGAUGUUCAUUUUCUUAUUCCUAUGUGUUUUAUCUAGAAAGAUUCAAGAAGAAUAUUAUAGAUUGUUCAAAAAUGUCCCCUGCUGUUUUGAAUGUUUAAGAUAAACAACGAGAAGCCGCGAUAAUUAUAGCUGGAAUGAAAUGGAAAUUCCAAGAUUUCGGAUGGCCUGUGUGACAAAAAUGAGCCUGCCUUCAUUGUUAGUAAUUAAUUUCAAAUUCGCUUUUCUGUUCGCAGUAUAAAAGAUGUAGUUAAUGUGAGAUAAAAUUAUGGGCCAGAGAGCUCCGGUGUGUUUUCCUACAUGACAUAGUUAGAUAUGUCAAAAAUAGUACUGCAGAUAUUUGGAAAGUAAUUGGUUUCUCUGGAGUGAUAUCACUGUGCCCAAGGAAAGAUUUCUUUCUAACACAAGAAAUAGAUGAAUGUCCUCAAGGAAGAGACUGGCUUGAUAUCUUUGUGACUCAUGUUGCCUUUCAAACGAGUCCCCUACCACCAUAGUAAUGAGUUCCUUUGCAGAAAGGAGAGUAUAAGAAACUUGGAGGGGCAGAAUAUGAAGCAAUGGAGAAGCCUUCUCUGACAAGGAAUUGUCAUUCCAAUAAAAUUGGCUUUCUCCAAACUUGAAGAGGAAAAAUUUUCAGGCUAAAAUAACGAAAAAGGAAAUACAUCCUAGCACUUUGGGAAUUGGUCUGAACUUAAAAGCCCCAGACCUAAAUUUGCUACAUCCAUGUUCUUCCUUACUGUUCUAAAACCAAAGAAAAACCUUAAAAUUUACAGAUACAUAGAUGAGUGUUCUCACAUAACAUCAUAUUUGAAUGUAAAAUUUUUUCAUUCCUCACAGAUUAAGACUUCAGCAACAUAGUCGGUAAAACAUAAAUUUGUCAAACUAUAAUGCUGUUCAUAUCUUUAGUGAAAAAAUAGAAUGUGAAGUAUUUUGUCUGUAAUAUUUUAAUGUUAUGAAAAUAAUCUUUUCAUAUUAGAGCAGUAUACUUGAAUACUUUACUGUUUUUAAUCUUACAAAUAGUGUGUUUCAUGUUGCAACCGGCCCUUUUAAUUGACUGUAUUUAAAGGGGCAUUAUAAAUUUAAACUAUUGAUGAAGUAAAUUAUAGUGGUUUUCUGAUCAGAAAAUACAUACUUAAAGCAUUAUUUAUAACAAAUAAAAAGUCACUGAGCACUGCAGGGGUUUCACAGUGGAUCUGAUAUUUUAGACCGUUUCCUAUCACCUAUCAGUCUAUUUGCUUAAAUAUAUAGCUCUACCGAUUCUCUUACUCAAAGGAAGAGGCAGCAUGUUUUUCAGAAGUGAGUCAUUGUUCUGUACCUUCCUGGAGACAUGAUUCGAUCCAUUGGACGUUGCGGUUUUAAUUCUUGUGCUGUUGAAUGAAGCCUGACAAGACACUUCCUAAAAAAAAAAAUGAAAUGUCAGCUGGAUGAAGCAGCCCUGCUACUGCCUGACUGAGUUGUUCUCUCAGGAAAGACCACUCACCUGCCAAGAAGCACGUUGUGUCUCUACAGAUCUCAGGGUUUCUCCUAUGCCAAGUCUGUGGCCCAUGAGCAUCAUUGUCAUUCUAGGAUGGGACUGUAGAAAUAGGAUAUCAAAACCUAAUCCGUUCAAUCAAUGGAUAAGAAACUAUCACAUGUAGUAGACAGAAUAACCCUUCUCAAAUAUUCAUACACUCCUCUUUGCAAGCUGUGGCCGUGGUGGAUGGUGAGGAGCAGGAGUGUCCUGUCAGGAGGAAGAGUAGCUGAGGUCCACUCAGUUGGAGAAGGCUCUCACUGAGCUGGGGGAAGUCAGCAUGCUGACGAUGUUAUUUUUGUUUGGGUCUCUUGUUUUGGACAUCUCAUUUCUAGAGCUGUAAAGACAAUAAAAUUCUAUUAUCAAAGCCACUAAA